rnacentral:rRNA from 1 species
AGUGGAUGGGGAGCAACCUAGUUGUGCGUGUGUAAAGGUAGUGCCAAGAAAAGCGAUGAUCAUGUUGAAAAUCAAUUCCCGGUACCCGAAACCGACACAGGUGGGCAAGUAGAGAAUACUAAGGGGCGCGAGGUAACUCUCUCCAAGGAACUCGGCAAAAUGACCCCGUAACUUAGGGAGAAGGGGUGCCACCGAGAGGUGGUCGCAGUGAAGAGGCCCAGGCGACUGUUUAGCAAAAACAUAGGUCUCUGCAAACUCGAAAGAGGAGGUAUAGGGGCUGACGCCUGCCCAGUGCCGGAAGGUUAAAGAAGUUGGUCAGUUUUAGGAUGAAGCUAGCGACUGAAGCCCCGGUGAACGGCGGCCGUAACUAUAACGGUCCUAAGGUUGCGAAAUUCCUUGUCGGGUAAGUUCCGACCCGCACGAAAGGCGUAACGAUCUGGGCGCUGUCUCGGAGAGAGGCUCGGCGAAAUAGGAUUGUCUGUGAAGAUACGGACUACCUGCAUUUGGACAGAAAGACCCUAUGAAGCUUUACUAUAGCUUGGAAUUGUGUUCGGGCUUCCUGUGCGCAGGAUAGGUGGGAGGCGUAGAAGGUAUUCUUGUGGGGAUACUGGAGCCAACGGUGAAAUACCACUCUCAGGAGGCUAGAAUUCUAACUUAAUUAAGGACAGUUUCAGGUGGUAGUUUGACUGGGGCGGUCGCCUCCAAAAAGGUAACGGAGGCGUACAAAGGUUCCCUCAGACUGGUUGGAAAUCAGUCGAAGAGUGCAAAGGCAGAAGGGAGCUUGACUGCGAGAAGUACAGUUCGAGCAGGGUGGAAACACGGUCUUAGUGAUCCGACGGUGCUGUGUGGAAGGGCCGUCGCUCAACGGAUAAAAGUUACUCUAAGGAUAACAGGCUGAUCUCCCCCAAGAGUUCACAUCGAUGGGGAGGUUUGGCACCUCGAUGUCGGCUCAUCGCAACCUGGGGCGGAAGUACGUCCCAAGGGUUGGGCUGUUCGCCCAUUAAAGCGGUACGUGAGCUGGGUUCAGAACGUCGUGAGACAGUUCGGUCCAUAUCCGAUGUAGGCGUGAGAAUAUUGAGAGGAGCCUUCCUUAGUACGAGAGGACCGGGAAGGACGCACCGCUGGUGUACCUGUUAUGAUGCCAAUUGUAAACGCAGGGUAGCCAAGUGCGGAGAGGAUAACCGCUGAAAGCAUCUAAGUGGGAAGCCCACCUCAAGAUGAGUAUUCUGGUGUAAGGUCACGGGAAGACGACCCGUAAAUAGGCACGAGGUGGAAGUGCAGAGAUGUAUGAAGCCGAAGUGUACUAAUAGACCGUCGGCUUGAC